UGGCUCAGUUGGUAGAGCAUGGUGCUUGCAACGCCAGCAUGGUGUGUGCAACGCCAGGGUUGUGGGUUCGAUUCCUAC
rnacentral:tRNA from 1 species